CUUGUUUUAAGCAGUUGGUUACUUCAGAUUUUUGACGUAAAUUUUCCGUGUUAAAACUUUUUAAGGAAUUAAAAUGUUUCUAAACAUCCUUUCCCACGCAAAUUCGUCUGCUCAUGACAAGCUCCACCUGUGCAGUGUUUGAGGAAUCUACGUUGACGGCAAAGACCUUGCAGUGGACACCCGAUCUGGAAACUUGAAUGACGUCGACACUCCACAAGAUACAACAUAUCAGCCCAAAGUUACUGAAACCAUCACUUCUUCUGAGUAUCAUUUACAUUUAGUCAUUUAGCAGAUGCCUUUAUCCGAAGCGACUUAUAAGUGAGGUAAACAAUAGAAGCAAUCGUAUCAACAUAAGGACAACAAAAACCACAGGUGCAGUAAAAAACUGCUCUUGUAGCCUACCACAGUACACAAACCAUCUUCACACAACAUUUCAUUUAGGUCUUAGUACUGGAUUCAUUAUACUGCUAUAGUUCAUGAAUCGUGACCUGACAGUGAACUUGAGAAACAUGAUAUAUGGUUUAUGGCUAAAAAGGUUCCUAUUAAUAAAUGUAUUGAGCAUGUGAAUAUCUGGCUGCCUAAACCUGUAACAUCUGAAGAGGUUGAUGUAAAAGAUAAUGAUGAUAUUGGUCCAGAAUGUUUCAUAUGUAUCUAAGGGUACCACUGCCUCUACUAAGAGCAGUUCAAAAAGUAGGAAUUCUUCCAUAAUAUCAGCGUGUGUAUAGGCCGAGGCUGAGAGAGCUGCACUGAUGGCACUAGACUACACUAACAAUUAUUUUGAUCAUCGAUUAUUUGGAUAUUUUAAUCAAUAAAAUAUACAAGGCUAGAUUAAAAUUGAAGGAUAAAUAGAUUUUUGUUGAAAGCAAGAGAUGUGAAUAUCAAUAUCAAAUCGAUUCAAUUUCGAUUCAGAGUCACGAUUGGAUGGAUCUUGUCCUUCAGUUUUGUAUUAUUAAUGACACACCUGGAACUCUAUUCUAGCUGUUCUGGACCCCGGAGCUGGGGCCCCUGCUGGACCUACCCUGGAGGCCCUGCCCAGCUGGCUUCCAGGGCUUGAGGAACUUUGUCUAAUGGGCAGGUCCCCGGAGCUGCAAGACCUCCUGGGUUGGCCCCUGGUAGCAGAUGGACUGCAGUGGUGGUUCCAUGAUGUCCUUGUGCCGGAUGCCCUGGAGCACUAUUUUGACACAAAAAAGAUAUUGUUAGCUUAACAUUCUGGCUUCUUUUAACAUGCUUUCAACAAAAUCACUAACAUUUUCUUUCUUAAUGGCAAAUGUUUUUACAGAUCAAGUAGAGGAAUCACUCAAUGUUGAGGAAAAAAUUAUGUAAUCAUCUUUACUUUCAUUUCUAAAACGCAUAUUAGGACAAGUCUAAAAAUACUUAUAAAUCUUCAGUUAAAAGGGAGAGCUUACACACAAAAAAAUACAUUAUAUUGGCCUAGUGGUUUUUGGAUAUUUUACUGCAAAAUUCUUACAAACUCUACCUUUAAAAGCAAACACCUUUGUUAGACACAUAUUCUACUGUAACAAUGUUUUUACAUCAUGUUCACUCAAAACAAUUAAAAACAAAUUCAGCUUUUAAGAAGUUACAGCAAUUUAUCACUAGUCAAGAUUUAAAUUCUAAGUAGAAAUUACUUUUAUAGGUUUAUGUAUAAUAUCAAUGAAAUGAUAAAUACAUCUAAAUGUAUUUUAUUUUAAAUUAUUAUUAAAAACUAGUAUAACAUAAUAUAUUUAUACUUUAUAGAAACUUUAUAGAAAAAAAUUUAAUUCAGCAACAUUACAACAAACUUUUGUAAUCCAAUGCAUUUGGUACUCCAAUGCACCCAAUGGUACUCACUUUUUUUUUAGUUCAGUUAGUUUUUUGUCUAAUUUAGUCUAUUAUAUCAAUAGACAUUUGUCGGCACCACCAUGCGACGCACCUUCCUCCGUAUCCAGAGCUGUAUAGCUGAGAGGGGUGUGCCAGUUUUUUAUCUAAUCAUCUUCCCUUGGAAUUACUGGACCCGCCAGUUGAAAUAUCUAGCCCAAGAAGCUGUGAUCUCCCACCUGGGUUGUGCAGACAUGGAGGGGCACGUGUUUGAUAUCUCCUGUCUGCUGUGUAAACUCUUGUUGGGUGCGGUAUGCAACGCUUACUAUGUCAGUGGGUACGCCAGUAAAGAGAUGUCUCCUUGAUCAAUUGCAACAAGAGUGUCCCCAACUGCAGCACAAAAACCAACAGACGCAGAAGAGGAAGAAAUACUCUGUUAAACCACCACGUGAUCUUUAAACAUUUGAGAAACAUCAGGAAAAGAAACAGCAUGCGUAUGCUAAAGCAACUGCCCCGAAGAAACAAAAAGAAGCAGAGAAACUUCAGAAGGAACAAGAACGUCCCCCAGCAUACCCUCUUCUAGGCGUGAGGGUUUACAGCUGGGUUCUAGUGCCCUCGAAGGAGCCGAGAUGUCGCUGUGAACUUCUUCAUUGACCCACUGACUGGAAAGAGCUACACCACCACAGACGAAAGCUUUCUGGGCAUAGACAGCAUUUGGAACGGUGAUAACUACUGGGUCAACAUGCAGGAUUUGGUCGUGGGGAGAUGACCUUUGACUUGAGUGAUCUAUUAAAGUGGGAGUAUAUUUAUGUGGCCCUGUGGAGGAUGGAAUGGAAGAGCAGAAAGUAUUUGAGACGCCUCAAUCUUGGGUGUCUAGAAUAGAAGAAGCAAUCGGUGAAUGACCAGAUGGAGGCUUCUGUUGUCCAGGCGGGAGUAUCAAGUCCCAUCACACCUGAGGUUGAUGCUCAACAGCAGUGCCAGAACAAAGUCAAAAUCAUUGGGAGCCGACUUACAAAGGUUAAAGCCGUACUUUCUGCGAGAGAACAGGAGGAUCUAUUUCCAACACAAACAGAAGAAAGAUGACACGUCGAUGCGUGGCAGAGACGGUGAAUUCAAGCAUAAAUCGAUGACGUAUUACUGUAUGGAUCUACAAUGCUCCUCCCAACAUCUCAUUCCUCAGAAUAAGCAAUCGGUGGAAGAUCAGAUGGAGCCUUCUGAUGUCCAGCCGGAAGUGUCAAGUCCCAACACACCUCUGAGGAUCUGGCUGAUGUUCAACAGCCGUUCCUCAACAAAGCCCAAAUCAUCCGGAGGCGAAUUAAAAAGGCAUGUAGUAGAUGCAGUCAUGGUACCAGAAGAACCAGCUCAACCUCACCAGAGAAGAUGAAGAUGAGUAUCACGCCUACUGCUCUGAUGCACAGCUCAGGAUAAAGGUCGCCAAACAAAGACUCGAUCGUUACACGGAGAAGGCUUCUGAAGGAUGUUACUAGCACGGGAGGAAACACCGAAAAAGAGUGUUCAGAACUGAAAAUCCUCAAUGCUAAAGUCUCACCAAAACAAAUCAAGCAUUAACUUUUAUUAGUGUUAAUGCUGUAAGUUUACUUUUUUGCAAAUAGCACUAGUAAAGAGAGGUUUAAAGUUUGGUAGCAGAAGUAUAAAUGGUCUGUUGUCAUCAUAAAAAAAAUGCAUGUGCAAUUCAUCAUGAAAAGGCAGAUAACUGACAAAAGACAAUAAUGUUACAUACAGAUGUAUAAUUAAGGGCCAUAUAAUUGACUACCUGUGUUUUUCCUUUUUUACUAUACAAUAGUGAUAUAUUAUCCACAUAAAUGACUGUUGUACACAAUAGUAUUUAUUACUAUAGUAAACUGCAGUUAAAUUCUUAAAUACUAUAGUGUUUUUGAACUUAACUAUUGUAUACCCUGCUGAUCAAUUUACUACAAGGGCACUACAAAUUUCAAUAGCAAAUGCUAUAGUACACUACACUUUCUCUCUGAGUGUUCAAUUCGAAUCUUCUGGAAGACUUCACACGUCACACAAUCAGGCAGCUCUGUGUAAUGCACAUAUUCUUAUUAUUGCACAUAUGUCGCACAUGUUUACAUAUAUUUUUUAAGUUACUCGUCCGAUCGGGCAAGUAAAAGUAUCUCUCACUAGCCCAUACAAAACAUUCACUUGUCACGUACUAGCGUUAAUGUCGAGCCCUGAUAAACGUACAAAAUAAAAUAUGAAUUGAAACGGUUAAGUAGUCUUAAUUUAAAAUAUCAGACUUCAGAAAUCUUUUAUUUUGCACGAAUAACCCCCGGGAAGUCUUUACGUGCAUUGGCGAUCGCUGGCCACUAGAUGGCAGUGUGUUCUUUAAAUCAGAUUCACACCUCAGACACAAUCGAUAAAAACUUGUGCACAUACAAAGUUGCAAUCCUCAAUAAUAACAAAAGUAUUAACGUAG